rnacentral:rRNA from 1 species
CCGUUGCCGGCGACCGGCGCACGGGUGAGUAACACGUAUGCAACCUGCCCGUGGCAGGGGGAUAAGCGGGGGAAACCCGUCUAAUACCGCGUAACGCGGCCUUGGGGCAUCCCAAGGCCGCCAAAGGGAGCAAUCCCGGCCACGGAUGGGCAUGCGGCGCAUUAGCUAGUCGGCGGGGUAACGGCCCACCGAGGCGACGAUGCGUAGGGGUUCUGAGAGGAAGGUCCCCCACACUGGUACUGAGACACGGACCAGACUCCUACGGGAGGCAGCAG